rnacentral:tRNA from 1 species
CGGAGUAUGGCCUAGUUUGGAUAAGGCGCUACGCUGGGGGCGUAGAGAGCGCUGGUUCAAAUCCAGCUACUCCGACCA